rnacentral:rRNA from 1 species
UACGUAGGCAGCAAGCGUUGUUCGGAAUUACUGGGCGUAAAGAGUGUGUAGGCGGUGUUCUAAGUCUGGUGUGAAAUCUCCCGGCUCAACUGGGAGGGUGCGCUAGAAACUGGAAUGCUAGAGGAUGGGAGAGGUAAGCGGAAUUCCUGGUGUAGCGGUGAAAUGCGUAGAUAUCAGGAGGAACACCUGUGGUGUAGACAGCUUACUGGACCAUUUCUGACGCUGAGACGCGAAAGCGUGGGUAGCAAACAGG